rnacentral:sRNA from 1 species
UUAUUUAGUCCUUAUUUGCUACCGGAACAGGACAGAGGGAGGAGUGACAGACAGGACAGGGAUUGUUAAGUCCUGAUUUACAUGUGGAAAAACUGAGAUUACAUGUACCUGCCUUUAAUUUCAGCACUUGGUAGGUAGAAAUAGGUUCAAGAGUUGAAAGGCAGCUUGAGCAACAGGGAACCCCAAGAGAGGGGAGGGAAAGAAGGGGCAAUUACUAUUGCUUCUUCCAGACUGCCAGCUGACUUUGAAUACUUAACAUAUGCCAAGCACUGUGCUGCUUUUUAAUCUUCACAAUAAACCCAAAAGGUGGGCAUUAUCCUCCUUUUAUAGUUAAAGAAACAGACUAGGAGGUUCUAAGUAACUUCCCGAGGUAAUUAAGCAAUAGUCAACAGCAGAGCCAGGAGUUUUAACAGGAGUUAACUUACAGGCACCAACUAGCCUUGACUGAUCACUACCUGCACCAGAGGGACUGAAUUCCAGGAUUCUAAUGUCUGCAGGGAAACCUGGCUUCCAGUCCUGUGUCUCAACGAUGUGAUUUCAAUGAUGGAAAGGUUGACCAUCCAGAUAGUUCUGCUAACCAGGGCCAGCAAUGUGGACUACCUGAAUCCUGCCUUUUCUGCGCCUGCGCUCCCCAGUCCACUCUUUAACACCGCGUGCUCCCAAACAGCGCUCUAAUUAUUUCUUUUAUGUGGAAGAGGAACAGAAUGGGUUUGCUAUUCAGAAUCCACAAACUGUAUUGGGUGGAUCCCAUCUCCGUCGUGCUUGGCACAGCGUCUAGUGGGUGACAGGCGCUCAGUAAAUGGUAACUAAAAAUCAACCCAGGCAUGUGACUGAAUGCUAUUUACUGGGCAUUUCAGAGCCUCAGUCUCUUGCUCUCCAGGCUGGUGAGAUGGAGCAGCAGGUAAAGCCAUCUGCUGCUACACUGGAAAGCUCCUGAAUUCAAUCCUGGAAUUCACAUGAUAGAAGAGAAACACUGACUCCCACAAGUCCUUUGAACACACCAUGAAUGCCAUGGUAUAUGACUGACCCUUUCCCCCAAAUUAAAUAAACGUAAAAAAAA